UUCCCUCGAGCCCCAGCGCAAUCGAAUCUCCCCCGCCUCCUCACGCGGGCCUCUUGGCUCUUCCGGUCUUGCGGCUCCUGCAUAAACGCCGCCGCGCGCCCACGCCUCCCGCUCGCUCGCCUUUCCGCCCCCCCAAUCAAUUUCAAACCGCGCCCCGUCGGCGUGAAUCAUCGGCGGCGGCGGCGAUGGAGGUGGGCGACCUGCACAAGGUCUGGGAAGUCCGGGAACUCAAGAGGAAGCCCGACGCGCCCGCCGCCCGCGCGCUCCUCGACCGCAUCGCCAAGCAGGUCCAGCCCAUCAUGCGCCGCCGCAAGUGGCGCGUCAAGGUCCUCUCCGAGUUCUCGCCACGGAGCCCCAGGCUGCUGGGGCUCAACGUCGGCAAGGGCAUCGAGGUCAAGCUGCGGCUGCGGCGCGACGGCCGCGACCUCGACUUCAUCCCCUACGAGGAGGUGCUCGACACCAUGCUCCACGAACUCUGCCACAACGAGCGCGGGCCCCACGACGCGCAGUUCUACAAGCUCUGGGACGAACUCCGCAAGGAAUGCGACGAACUUGUUUCGAAGGGUAUCACUGGAACAGGACAAGGGUUCGAUGGUACAGGAAGGCGACUGGGUGGAUUUACAAUACAUCCGCUGCCGCCAUCUCUUCGACAAGCUACGGCUGCUGCUGCACAGAAGCGGGCAAGGAAUGGAGCUCUAUUGCCAUCUGGACCAACAAAGUUGGGUGGAAACAAUUACAUUAUGAGUGUGCUUAGUCCAGUACAAGCUGCUGCAAUGGCAGCUGAAAGGAGAAUGCAUGAUGAUUUGUGGUGUGGAUCCCAUGAUCAAUCUGGUAUUGAUGAUUCGGAUGACGUUAUUAUUCUUAAAGAACCACCUAACUUGACAGCAAUGGAUGGAAAAACCACAAAGGGUAGCUGUUCCAACACUUUUGCAGAAUCCAGCGCUUCGUCUGUAAUUCACACAGCACCACGAGAUGGUUCCUCAUCUUUUAGGACAACAAGUGAUGCAGGCGAUGAUUCAAAGUGGGAAUGUGGUGCUUGCACUCUUCUAAAUGAGCCUUUGGCACCAAUAUGUGAAGUUUGUGGUACGGAAAAACCUAAAAUUGCAAAGGCAAAGUACGCAACUUGGUCUUGUAAAUUUUGUACUCUAGAGAACAGCACUAAGCUUGACAAAUGUUCGGCGUGCGAUCAAUGGAGAUACUCAUAUGGGCUUUGAUUAAGAUAACAUUGAAGGCUACAAUUGUACAAGAUGAAACUUCAGAGCAGGCAUCUGCUACAUUGUUGAUUUAAGUUGACUUAUCAGCAACAGUUCUCGCUCCAUUACCACUCAUGUCAUAUCAGGUUUCAAGUUGCCGGAGAAAUCUGAUAACUGUUAAACUGGCCAUCUUCUUCUGUUGCCGUUGCUUGUAGCAAAUAGCAAUGAGUGGAUUGGUAAAAGGAGGCGAUCUUCAUGGCUGCUAACGUUAGCUCCAAGCCUGGGUCAUGGUGCGUCCGAACCUGCAUGCCCAUCCAUGUCUCUCGUUGGCAGAUGGUCACCCUGAAGAGUGAGGACAUCCCAUUAUCCCCGUGUUAGAAACUGCAAAGCGAGGCAGACAGGUUCUUGAGUCCAUUGAUCCCUGCCAUUUGGCUGAACGUGUGCGUGCACAGGCCGCAUAUUUCUUUGUCGCACGUGGUGUGAAAGAGCUCGGCCAUGAUGUUUGUAGCCUCUUUUGGCACAUCGCCCGUCUUCCACCGCUUUUCCUUUGUUCGGCACUAACUGAUGAUUUGAACUUGGAGCACGUGCUGUGAGUGGACAUGGUGUAUCUGGUGUGUCACGCUUCUGUUUAUGCCGGCCAGGUUCUUGGUAUUGGUACCUACUUCUCUCAUCAAAUCGAUUUACAUCCAUUAAGCACUCAC